rnacentral:lncRNA from 1 species
UUUUCUUGUCUCAGCCACAGAGCAACAACAAAAACAGUCUCGUAAGCCCAGCCCAAGAGCCCGCGCCCUUGCAGACGGCCAUGAGCCACAAACCACUGUGGUACACAACGCUACAGAUGGGAUCAAGGCUCCACAGAGAGCUGCAACACCACCACAGAAGAUGAGGACCUCAAACUGCCCCGCUCCGCACUGGGAAUGGCAGCUCGGUGCCUGAAGGACGGAGCUCCCGGGACAGAACAGCCCCCUCUGCAGGCAUGCAGCCCCAGCCUUCUCUCUGCUCCUCAGCCUGCGAAAACAGGAGAUCAUUAA